AUUGAACGCUGGCGGCAGGCCUAACACAUGCAAGUCGAGCGAGUGGCGGACGGGUGAGUAAUGUAUGGGGACUGCCCGAAAGAGGGGGGUAACUACUGGAAAAGGUAGCUAAUACCGCAUAUUAUCGGAUAAGCCAUAUGGGAUUGGCUAGUAGGUGAGGUAAUGGCUUCCCUAGGCGACGAUCCCUCGCUGGUCUGAGAGGCUGAUCAGCCAACCUGGGACGGAGACACGGCCCAGACUCCUACGGAGGCAGCAGUGGGGAAUAUUGCACAAUGGGCGCAAGCCUGAUGCAGCCAUGCCGCGUGUAUGAAGAAGGCCCUAGGGUUGUAAAGUACUUUCAGUCGGGAGGCGUUACCGACAGAAGAAGCACCGGCUAACUCCGUGCCAGCAGCCGCGGUAAUUC
rnacentral:rRNA from 1 species